UACGAAGGGGGCUAGCGUUGCUCGGAAUUACUGGGCGUAAAGGGCGCGUAGGCGGCUCUGUUAGUCAGGCGUGAAAUCCUGGGCUCAACCUGGGGACUGCGCUUGAUACGGCGGGGCUUGAGGAUGGAAGAGGGUCGUGGAAUUCCCAGUGUAGAGGUGAAAUUCGUAGAUAUUGGGAAGAACACCGGUGGCGAAGGCGGCGACCUGGUCCAUUACUGACGCUGAGGCGCGACAGCGUGGGGAGCAAACAGG
rnacentral:rRNA from 1 species